CUACCAUGCAAGUCGAACGAUGAUGCCCAGCUUGCUGGGCGGAUUAGUGGCGAACGGGUGAGUAAUACGUGAGUAACCUGCCCUUGACUCUGGGAUAAGCCUGGGAAACUGGGUCUAAUACUGGAUACUACCUCUUGCCGCAUGGUGGGUGGUGGAAAGGGUUUUACUGGUUUUGGAUGGGCUCACGGCCUAUCAGCUUGUUGGUGGGGUAAUGGCUCACCAAGGCGACGACGGGUAGCCGGCCUGAGAGGGUGACCGGCCACACUGGGACUGAGACACGGCCCAGACUCCUACGGGAGGCAGCAGUGGGGAAUAUUGCACAAUGGGCGGAAGCCUGAUGCAGCGACGCCGCGUGAGGGAUGACGGCCUUCGGGGUUGUAAACCCUCUUUCAGUAGGGAAGAAGCGAGGAGUGACGGUACCUGCAGAAGAAGCGCCGGCCUAACUACGUGCCAGCAGCCGCGGUAAUACGUAGGGCGCAAGCGUUGUCCGGAAUUAUUGGGCGUAAAGAGCUCGUAGGCGGUUUGUCGCGUCUGCUGUGAAAGCCCGGGGCUCAACCCCGGGUCUGCAGUGGGUACGGGCAGACUAGAGUGCAGUAGGGGAGACUGGAAUUCCUGGUGUAGCGGUGAAAUGCGCAGAUAUCAGGAGGAACACCGAUGGCGAAGGCAGGUCUCUGGGCUGUUACUGACGCUGAGGAGCGAAAGCAUGGGGAGCGAACAGGAUUAGAUACCCUGGUAGUCCAUGCCGUAAACGUUGGGCACUAGGUGUGGGGGACAUUCCACGUUUUCCGCGCCGUAGCUAACGCAUUAAGUGCCCCGCCUGGGGGAGUACGGCCGCAAGGCUAAAACUCAAAGGAAUUGACGGGGGCCCGCACAAGCGGCGGAGCAUGCGGAUUAAUUCGAUGCAACGCGAAGAACCUUACCAAGGCUUGACAUUCACCGGACCGCCCCAGAGAUGGGGUUUCCCUUCGGGGCUGGUGGACAGGUGGUGCAUGGUUGUCGUCAGCUCGUGUCGUGAGAUGUUGGKUUAAGUCCCGCAACGAGCGCAACCCUCGGUUCUAUGUUGCCAGCACGUGAUGGUGGGGACUCAUAGGAGACUGCCGGGGUCAACUCGGAGGAAGGUGGGGAUGACGUCAAAUCAUCAUGCCCCUUAUGUCUUGGGCUUCACGCAUGCUACAAUGGCCGGUACAAAGGGUUGCGAUACUGUGAGGUGGAGCUAAUCCCAAAAAGCCGGUCUCAGUUCGGAUUGAGGUCUGCAACUCGACCUCAUGAAGUCGGAGUCGCUAGUAAUCGCAGAUCAGCAACGCUGCGGUGAAUACGUUCCCGGGCCUUGUACACACCGCCCGUCAAGUCACGAAAGUUGGUAACACCCGAAGCCGGUGGCCUAACCCCUUGUGGGAGGAAGCCGUC
rnacentral:rRNA from 1 species